GACGAACGCUGGCGGCGUGCUUAACACAUGCAAGUCGAACGGAAAGGCCCCUUUGGGGGUACUCGAGUGGCGAACGGGUGAGUAACACGUGAGUAACCUGCCCUUGACUUCGGGAUAACUUCAGGAAACUGGGGCUAAUACCGGAUAGGAAUCCUUGCUGCAUGGUGGGGGUUGGAAAGCUUCGGCGGUUUUGGAUGGACUCGCGGCUUAUCAGCUUGUUGGUGGGGUAGUGGCUUACCAAGGCUUUGACGGGUAGCCGGCCUGUGAGGGCGACCGGCCACAUUGGGACUGAGAGACGGCCCAGACUCCUACGGGAGGCAGCAGUGGGGAAUAUUGCACAAUGGGCGGAAGCCUGAUGCAGCAACGCCGCGUGCGGGAUGACGGCCUUCGGGUUGUAAACCGCUUUCAGCAGGGGCGAAGCUUGUGGUGACGGUACCUGCAGAAGAAGCACCGGCUAACUACGUG
rnacentral:rRNA from 1 species